GUUCUGUUCUUUUAAUUUUUCCGUUUCUCUUCCCGACCUAGACAUGUUGAAGGCUCUAUUUUUUGCAGGUGCUGCUCCGAUGAGGAGAAACUGCUGCUACAGGACGUUCUCCUCCUCUCCUACCCCCACACGUGGUGAGCUCCAACCUCUUUUUCCACCCCUUGAACAUCUGAUCUGAAGUGGACAUCAAUUGCAAUUGUUAUGAACACAACAUAACAGCAAAUAUUGGUUUAGUUUCUAUGUGCAAUUCGAUUGUGAUUGUGCUGGUUUGAUGAUGCUUGCUUCAAAAAAGGAAAUCAUGGAUAAUAGAAGAGGAAACAGCGAGCUUCCUUUCAAAUUAUUAAUAUUAAUAAUCAUUUGGUUCAUGAAACUUUCAUUUCUUGCGUGAAAUUUGUACCUACUAUAAAUGCCACCAUCAAGUUAGCUCAAACACAGGCAGCUUGAUUGAUUUCUAUAUAUGCUAGCAGCAGUAACUACAUGUCUCCUAUACUAGCUCGAUUCAAUUCCAUAGUAGCUCAAGAACACUAGCUAUUACAUGUUUGUUCGCUUCGGAGUAGCAGGCAUCCUCCAUGGACGAUUCGGAGCAGCAGCAUGCACAUAUUUAUUCUGUUUGAACUCUGCAUGACAUGAAAUAAUUAUUUUCAGUGUUUUUCUCAACUUGUUUUCAUUGUUACUUGAUAUAUACUUAGCUUGUACUUGAAGCUAUGGGUUAAUGAUGAUGAUUUUGUUCUAUUUGGAGGCAUUGGUGCCCCAUCAUCGAGUGCACGGAUGCAACAACAGCAACAAGAUCAUGGCGAUGCGUAUCAUCAAUCACACCAUGGAGAUCAUCCAUCUCCUCACCGAUGCUAACUCAAUCCAGAUCACCGCCGAUGUUAUCAUCCACAUUGCAUGAAGUGCGGUUUGCAUUAGGCUGCUCCUGCUUGACGGCAGCCUGGUCCAGCGUCACUUAACCGUUGUGACCUAGCUGGUUUGGUUUAGCUUCGAGCUGCGCACCGCGGAGUGGGAGGCAGACACGCUCGUGAACAUCAAGGCCGGAUCAAGUACGAUGGUGAAACUAUAGAUUGAGUCACAACUUAAAUCAAUAGUGGAUGCUUUUAGUACAUGUACUCGUGCUUAUGCUUUAGACAUUUACACUUGUAAAACUGUUCUGAUCCCUGAGUUACAUGCUUGUUGACACA